ensembl:snoRNA
GUGCUUAUGUGUUUCAUAAGUGAGAUAAUUGAGUUUUCUAGCUCAUAUAUGAGAAGUGCCUCCCUCAAACCUUAGGACUUCAGGACAUUGCCUUAUAUGAAA